UGGAGACAUCUUCUCCAGGCAAAAAAGGCUGAGGCAAUGCUCCUCUGAUUCUUGAGAAGACAUUUUUCUACAUAGGGGAUCAUUUGUGAUAGAUAGGAGUUCAUGUAUUUCAUAUGCAACUCCUGUCUCUGAACCACCGCACUGAACCAGGCAAUAGACAACAAAUUUGCCACAGGGAACUGUGUCCUCAUGUCACUUGAGCCAUUCCUGACCUCCAGAACUUCCUCCUGAUGCUGCUAAGAUUUAACCUCAUCCAAGGCUUGUAGAAAAUGUUGCUGAUCAUGAUGCUGCAUCAUCCACUCACUUGUGAGAACCCCUUCUUAUGGUUCAAGGCACCACCAAUGCCUCUUUGUGCUGGUGACACCACUGUCCCACUGUCCUGAAGCUGUGUACAGAAUAUGAAUAAAGCUGAAGUGAAAACAUACUAGCAUUAAGGCCAGCUUUCCUGAAUCCUAGAGUUCCUCUACCUGCCAGAGAUGCUUGUGUUUGUAAAUGUGUUAUUUACUACUUUUAAUAUGAAUGCCUGGCAUUUCAAUGGAAUGUGCUGACAGACUACUCAUGUCUCUGGAAAGUUAACAUUACACAAAUCAAAGGUCAGAAUAUGGAAGAGAUCCUCAUGAUUUCUGCAUUCCUGUCAUUAUUGUAACAAUAGCUGUAGUGCACAGAUGUGGCUGAUUCUUCAGAUGCAUCAGGGAAAUCACAUCACACUUCAUGGUGGAGGUGAAAUAAAAACAAUUCAUUUAGAAGAGUUGAUUGAAUUAGGGAUCCUCUGUUCUAACAAAGAAAUAACUGCUGGCAAAAGAGGUGAGACUGCUCUUCACUGAUAUAGAUAAAUUACUAGAGCACACACAGAACCUAUUUUAAGAGGAAUCAAGGCUGAAAUCAUCCAACUGGAGGUCAAUGGUAAUAAACAUAUGGAAACCUUUUGAAUAUUCACAAAUCAAGUGUUACAAAUCCCACAAAAUUCAAAUAUAGAGGUACACUUAAAAUUACAGUGAGAUAUACACAAAGAAUGAUUCUAAACUUCAGUUUAUGAUAAAUAAUAUUAAAUACAUAAUUGAAGUUUAUUUUACUGGGUUAUAUACUGCUCUAUUUUUCUAUAUUGUUUGCUAAGCAUCAUAUUAUAGAUGUCAUAUGAAGCAAUCUUUUAAAUAAUUACUCUGUCAAAAUGGUUUAGCUAGGCACCUUAAAAAACAAUGCUUUGAUUAACAGUUGGAGA